CGCUUUGGUUGGAUUAGCGGAAAGGAAAACAGUGGAAGUUACAAAAUCUACUGACGGUAUGAUAAAUACGUUUAUUACUUGUAGAAUUGAAGGCAUGGAAACAAUUUUAAAACAUUUAAUAUCUUUUACGCGCUUUAUAGAAUCUCUUGGGGCAUUAGUUUUGUGUUUGAAAGUAAUGCCCAGUGUAUCCAGGAUUAAGAAGGCUGAUUUUUCAUCAAAACUGGGUUGCCUUUUUUACUUCGUCAAAGAAAAUGCUAGUAUAUCUUCUAUUGUAGAAUCAAAAUACGAAAUCUAUCAUAAACAGCCAUUCUUGAUCGUCUCUGGAACCCUGGAAAAUCCUUUAUCAUUCUUUCUCGUCAUAGAAAAAACUGCCAUUCCAGUUGGUAGUAACUGUGCUCAUGCCUUUCACGUGCUAUUUGCAUCUUUUUUCAUUUUCCGAUUGGAAUAUCCUCAAUAUCUUGACAAAUUUUUUCUUUUUUCGAACAAUUUGUUUUUCAAAUUGGAAAGAAUAUCAGCGCUUGCAAUCAAGAAUUUGCAAACUGCCUCGACAAUGUUGCAUCAGCAACAAUUCCGCAGUCCCUCGAACAACAGCAGCAAAGUUAAAUUCAUUCUUUGAUAUACCGCUUGUUUUUUCACCUUUAUUCGUUUACUGCAUACCAAAUCCAGCCUUAAUGAAUAAAUGACAGCAUCACCUGCUUUUUCUAAAAUCUAAA